UACUCCUACGGGAGGCAGCAGUGGGGAAUUUUGGACAAUGGGCGAAAGCCUGAUCCAGCAAUGCCGCGUGCAGGAUGAAGGCCUUCGGGUUGUAAACUGCUUUUGUACGGAACGAAAAGCUUCUGGUUAAUACCUGGGAGUCAUGACGGUACCGUAAGAAUAAGCACCGGCUAACUACGUGCCAGCAGCCGCGGUAAUAAU
rnacentral:rRNA from 1 species